rnacentral:snRNA from 2 species
AUACCUUUCUCGGCCUUUUGGCUAAGAUCAAGUGUAGUAUCUGUUCUUAUCAGUUUAAUAUCUGAUAUGUGGACUAUUAGUUCACUCGAUAUUAAAUUUAUUUUCUGAGGGAGAGAACCAUCACAGUAGCUUGCUACUUGUUUCUCAUGCAUCGCCUUUGAUUUGCACUUCUUCAAAGUGCUGGUGCAUCCCAC